rnacentral:pre_miRNA from 14 species
GUGUGCGCGCGCGCUGAAAGACCCCCGGAGCGGGGAGACCCUCACUCAAGUCUCAGGAUGACGCGACCCCCCAAGAACUCACACAAGACC